GACGAACGCUGGCGGCGUGCUUAACACAUGCAAGUCGAACGGAAAGGCCCUGCUUUUGUGGGGUGCUCGAGUGGCGAACGGGUGAGUAACACGUGAGUAACCUGCCCUUGACUUUGGGAUAACUUCAGGAAACUGGGGCUAAUACCGGAUAGGAGCUCCUGCUGCAUGGUGGGGGUUGGAAAGUUUCGGCGGUUGGGGAUGGACUCGCGGCUUAUCAGCUUGUUGGUGGGGUAGUGGCUUACCAAGGCUUUGACGGGUAGCCGGCCUGAGAGGGUGACCGGGGUCCUUGGGACUGAGAUAGGGCCCAGGCCCCUACGGGGGGCAACGGGGGGGAAUAUUGCACAAUGGGCGGGAGCCUGAUGCAGCGACGCCGCGGUCGGGAUGACGGCCUUCGGGGUGUGAACCGCUUUCGGCUGUUACGAAGCGGUUGUGACGGUAAUGGAUGAAGAAGCACCGGCUAACUACGUG
rnacentral:rRNA from 1 species